rnacentral:sRNA from 1 species
GGUAGAUGAUAGAACGUUACAACUGCAAUCUGGUUAUCAGGCAGUUGCCUUUCCUUGAUCGAUGGUCCGGGGCUGCAACGGCAGUAUUCCAGCCUGCUGACAUACUGGCAUUAUACUAGCAUUGCACCCGAUGUGCGUCAUUCCUCCAUUUUCUGCUGCUCGCGUACAGCUGCGGAAUUCACAGCCAAGUGGCACACUCUUCAGGUCAGCCUUCACGAAGAGCCAGCUGUAAGUUUUAAGAACCAGGCGAAUUCGGAAUUUGGGAUGUGUUAGAUUGCGAGAUGAGGGUCCUGAGGGGUGGAAACAAUGGUAUGAGAAUGCAGAUGACGCCAGGGAUCAUUCGACCCAUGCCAUUCAGUGGCUUCCCUGA